rnacentral:rRNA from 1 species
UGAGGAAUAUUGGUCAAUGGACGUAAGUCUGAACCAGCCAAGUCGCGUGAGGGAAGACUGCCCUAUGGGUUGUAAACCUCUUUUAUAAGGGAAGAAUAAGUUCUACGUGUAGAAUGAUGCCUGUACCUUAUGAAUAAGCAUCGGCUAACUCCGUGCCAGCAGCCGCGGUAAUACGGAGGAUGCGAGCGUUAUCCGGAUUUAUUGGGUUUAAAGGGUGCGUAGGCGGUUUAUUAAGUUAGUGGUUAAAUAUUUGAGCUAAACUCAAUUGUGCCAUUAAUACUGGUAAACUGGAGUACAGACGAGGUAGGCGGAAUAAGUUAAGUAGCGGUGAAAUGCAUAGAUAUAACUUAGAACUCCGAUAGCGAAGGCAGCUUACCAGACUGUAACUGACGCUGAUGCACGAGAGCGUGGGUAGCGAACAGGAUUAGAUACCCUGGUAGUCCACGCCGUAAACGAUGCUCGCUGGUUCUGUGCGAUAUAUUGUACGGGAUUAAGCGAAAGUAUUAAGUGAGCCACCUGGGGAGUACGUCGGCAACGAUGAAACUCAAAGGAAUUGACGGGGGCCCGCACAAGCGGAGGAACAUGUGGUUUAAUUCGAUGAUACGCGAGGAACCUUACCUGGGUUUAAAUGGGAAAUGUCGUAUUUGGAAACAGAUAUUCUCUUCGGAGCGUUUUUCAAGGUGCUGCAUGGUUGUCGUCAGCUCGUGCCGUGAGGUGUCGGGUUAAGUCCCAUAACGAGCGCAACCCUUACCGUUAGUUGCUAGCAUGUAAUGAUGAGCACUCUAACGGGACUGCCACCGUAAGGUGAGAGGAAGGCGGGGAUGACGUCAAAUCAGCACGGCCCUUACACCCAGGGCUACACACGUGUUACAAUGGCCGGUACAGAGGGCCGCUACCAGGUGACUGGAUGCCAAUCUCAAAAGCCGGUCGUAGUUCGGAUUGGAGUCUGUAACCCGACUCCAUGAAGUUGGAUUCGCUAGUAAUCGCGCAUCAGCCAUGGCGCGGUGAAUACGUUCCC